UACGUAGGGUGCGAGCGUUAAUCGGAAUUACUGGGCGUAAAGCGUGCGCAGGCGGUUCGUGAUGUCUGGGGUGAAAGCCCCGGGCUUAACCUGGGAAUGGCGCUUGAAACUACAGGACUGGAGUAUGGCAGAGGGAGGUGGAAUUCCACGUGUAGCGGUGAAAUGCGUAGAGAUGUGGAGGAACACCGAUGGCGAAGGCAGCCUCCUGGGCCAAUACUGACGCUCAUGCACGAAAGCGUGGGGAGCAAACAGG
rnacentral:rRNA from 1 species